UAGUGAAAAAAAUAUUGCAUGCUUGUUAAAAUAUGCUAACACAUUUAAGAUGUGUUCACAGUAACCCAGAGCAAUGAGACACAAUGUCUGAAGAAUCAUUCUCUAGAAGAUAUCUCAACAAAUUUUAUAAAAAGCUGUCACAGGCUGAGAGACUGUAUUCCCUUGGUGUAAAUUUAAAAAGUCUGGUGGUAACAUGAAUGGGUGGCAGUGAACAACACCGCCACCUGAACUUCAGUGGAAUUUCUGAUGUUUUGUUUUUCAUCGCUGUCGGAUUCUGCUGAAGUGGCAAAGAGUAAUGCACUUUAGUUUUGUUUUUAUUGAGGAUCUACUAUGUUGAGGAUGCAUGUCACUUCAGAAGACACAAAUAAACAAGGUA